UACGUAGGUGGCGAGCGUUGUCCGGAAUUACUGGGUGUAAAGCGCGUGUAGGCGGGAGGCCAAGUCUGUGGUGAAAUCGCUCGGCUUAACUGGCCGGGGUCCAUGGAAACUGGUCACCUGGAGGUCGGUAGAGGCAAGUGGAAUUCCCGGUGUAGUGGUGAAAUGCGUAGAGAUCGGGAGGAACACCAGUGGCGAAGGCGGCUUGC
rnacentral:rRNA from 1 species